GCCUCAGCCGGCCCACGGGAGGCCGGGAGGCCCCGGAUGGCUCCCUUGCUGCUCUGGGGAGCGUUUCUUAUCUGCACACUCGCCCUUGAGAGAUGGGGAUUUGCAGAGCUCCAGAGGGUCUCCAGUUUCUUUUGGGCAGCCCGCCCUUCGUGGUCAUCGCUGACAAUGAGGAUGAUGUGGUUCCACUUGUAAAAGCGCAUCAUCUCAAACCAGACGUUGGACUGGUGGGAGUAGGGGGGGACUGUGCGUAGGAAGGACAGGUGAAUACUCUGCAGAAAAAGGCUCUGUACUCCACAGUAACUCUUCUAAUUGUCUUGCUGUUGAUUUCCUGUUCCUCCUGCCAUGUGUGCCUGUGUGUGGCUCAUGCUGUGUGUGUGUGCCUUCAAGUCACUGUUGACUCCUGGGGACUGUCUGGACAAGUCCCUGCAGUUUUCUUGGCAAGAUUUCAGAAGUGGUUUGCCUAGAUGUCUGGGUGGAUAACAAGCUGAACAUGAGUCAGCAGUGUGAUGCAACUGCAAGAAAAGCAAAUGCAGUCUUGGUCUGCAUCAAUGGAA